CCCCUCUCAGGAUUGCCUCUGGAGAGUUUCCAGGACUCUGUCAGUCUCAGCUACGGGAGGGAGAGUCAAGCAGAGGUUUACCUAUUCCAUUCCUAGAUCAGACGGUGGCUAGUGAGUGGAAGGCAAUCUGCUACAAGU